rnacentral:rRNA from 1 species
UGCGAAUGGCUCAUUAAAUCAGUUAUCGUUUAUUUGAUAGUACCUUACUACACGGAUAUCUGUGGUAAUUCUAGAGUUAAUACGUGCUAAAAACCUCGACUUCGGAAGGGGUGUAUUUAUUAGACUAAAAACCAAUGCCCUUCGGGGCUCCUUGGUGAUUCAUAAUAACUCAACGAAUCGCAUGGCCUUGCGCCGGCGAUGGUUCAUUCAAAUUUCUGCCCUAUCAACUUUCGAUGCUAGGGUAGUGGCCUAGCAUGGUUACAACGGGUAACGGGGGAUUAGGGUUCUAUUCCGGAGAGGGAGCCUGAGAAACGGCUACCACAUCCAAGGAAGGCAGCAGGCGCGCAAAUUACCCAAUCCCGACACGGGGAGGUAGUGACAAUAAAUACUGAUACAGGGCUCUUUUGGGUCUUGUAAUUGGAAUGAGUACGAUUUAAACACCCUAACGAGGAACAAUUGGAGGGCAAGUCUGGUGCCAGCAGCCGCGGUAAUUCCAGCUCCAAUAGCGUAUAUUAAAGUUGUUGCAGUUAAAACGCUCGUCGUUGAACCUUGGGCCUGGGCGACCGGUCUCCCUCACCGGAUGCACUGGUUCGGCCGGGCCUUUCCUUCUGGGGAAUCGCAUGCCCUUCGCUGGGCGUGUCGAGGAUCCAGGACUUUUACUUUGAAAAAAUUAGAGUGUUCAAAGCAGGCCUUUGCUCGAAUACCUUAGCAUGGAAUAAUAGAAUAGGACGUGCGGUCCUAUUUUGUUGGUUUCUAGGACCGCCGUAAUGAUUAAUAGGGUCAGUUGGGGGCAUCAGUAUUCAAUUGUCAGAGGUGAAAUUCUUAGAUUUAUUGAAGACUAACUACUGCGAAAGCAUUUGCCAAAGAUGUUUUCAUUAAUCAGUGAACGAAAGUUAGGGGAUCGAAGACGAUCAGAUACCGUCGUAGUCCUAACCAUAAACUAUGCCGACUAGGGAUCGGGCGAUGUUAUCAUUUUGACUCGCUCGGCACCUUACGAGAAAU